rnacentral:lncRNA from 1 species
CAUUGGUGUGAUCCUGGUUUUCGUCAUGGGAGAUGCGGGAGACCAGCUUCAAGCAGGCGGCGAAGACGGUGGCAGCAGUGGUUCUGGUGGCGAUUCUUCUGGCGGUUCCUCU